GGGCCGCUCCUGCGGCACAUGGAGGUCCCCAGGCUAGGGGUCCAAUCGGAGCUGUAGCCACCAGCCUACACCAGAGCCACAGCAACACGGGAUCCGAGCUGCAUCUGCAACCUACACCACAGCUCACGGCAACGCCGGAUCGUUAACCCACUGAGCAAGGGCAGGGACCGAACCCGCAACCUCAGGGUUCCUAGUCGGACUCGCUAACCACUGCGCCACGACGGGAACUCCCGAAUCUUAGUUAUAUAUACGGUCUGAAUGAAAAUCCUAAGGCAGGGCCCUCAACUGAAGAGUGUUCUCUCAUUCACUGGAUUCAGUCCUGGCUCUGUCUGUCACAGCUAGCAAUCUCCAUAAAUAUGUCUUUUUUUUUUUGUCUUUUUGCCUUUUCUAGGGCUGCUCCUAUGGCAUAUGGAGAUUCCCAGGCUAGGGCUCUGGCCUGCGCCAGAGCCACAGCAACGCCAGAUCUGAGCACCGUCUUUGACCUACACCACAGCUCAUGACAACGCUGGAUCCUUAACCCACUGAGCAAGGCCAGGAAUCAAACCCACAACCUCAUGGUUCUUGUCAGAUUCGUUAGUUAACUGCUGAGCCAUGAUGGGAGCUCCAAAUAUGUCUCCUUUCUAAAUGGCAGUGAGAGGGGUGGAAAAUAAAAUGUGAAUGUCAUCUAGAAAUCCCUACACAGCCAAUCAGUGCUUCUCAGUCAGAGCUCAAGUAACCACCGCAUAUCCAGGCCAUACCUCUGGAGUACCAAUGUGUUAAUGAUUUUAAAAUGUGAAAUUAUGGAGUUUCCGUUCUUGCUCAGGGGUAAUGAAUCCCACUAGUAUACAUGAGAAUUCAGGUUCAAUCCCUGGCCUUGCUUGGUGGGUUAAGGAUCGGGCCAUGCAAUGAGCUGAGGUAUAGGUUUCAGACCCAGCUCAGAGCUUGGAUCCUGCAAUGCUAUGGCUAUGAUGUAGGCUGGGAGCUAUGGCUCCGAUUCAAAACCUAGCCUGGGAACUUCCAUGUGUCGGAGGUGUGGACCUUUAAAAAAAAAAAAAAAGAAGGGAAGGAAGUAAUACUGUCACAGAUAACAUUUGCAUGAUUGUUAAGGAAACUUUCCCCUUGGAACUUGGCUGCUUUGGGUGGCAGGACCAGACCCCCUCCUCCUCUCCCCAGGAAAACAUUCCCAUCUGUCUGUUGUCAGGGUUUUGAAGGUGUAAAAUGUGAGAGGCAUUCCGUGAAGUCCUUAUCAGCUAGUCACACUGCAGCUUGAAUUAGUGUAUCGGUUUAACCCCAGCAAAGACAGUGGCAGGAAAGGGGCUGACUUGUCAUCUAUGGAAAGAAGGGGUGCAGAGGCCUUGUCUGGGUGGGGAGAAACAAGGGUCCUGGGUCUCCCAGGGGAAAGAAGGAAAGAAAGGGGGGAAAGGGCUGAGGGGUCUUGAGGAUCACUGCCACCUGCUCUGCCUACAGCUGCUGAGGUGGAGGCUGCAGGGGAAUCUGCCCUGGAGACUGUUUGUCUCGCUGGGAUCCUGGUCCCUGUGCCCACGCACAGCAGACCACCCAGGGCAGGUCUCUGAGCCUGACCAGAUGGGCGGCUUGGCCGCAGCUCUGAGGUGAGACUGAGCGCAGAUCAGGGCAGGAGCUCGGAGUAACCUGACAGCGCUCCCGCCAGCUCCCCACGGGCACAUCCCGGCCCAAUCCUCAACACACAUACCUGUCUCAGCAUGGAUCUGAAAACCAUGUACCGCAGCCGCUUGGUGAGGAUCUCUCCGGCUUUGCCAAACGUGAAGCCCUGUGAAGAAUAACAGGCCACAUGGGUCAGGAACCCAGCCGCUGAUGACACAAAAGGAGGGGGACGUGGUGUCAUUGCUAAAGCAGGACACCAGACAAAGUCAGAAAGCGUGAUUUCAAGGCUUGGCCAUGUUUUGGUGACUGAGCACUAUGGUGUGUAGCUGCACCUCGGGCAGAGCUGGAACAGCUCAGUUUUGAACUCAAUACUAUGCUCCCCAGCCACCUGGCAGGCUGAUCUGAUCAGGGCUUUGUUUGGAAGUGGUUUCUUUGGCCACCUUCCCUCCCUGCUCGUUUCUCUCUGUGAACCAUGUCUGUCCCUCAGGAAGCUGGGGAGUUAUUCCCAAGGCAGGGGGCCCUCUAAACCAAGGGUCUAAAUUAUGUAUCAUCCAAAGCAGAACAUUUUUGUGCUACUGAAAAGGAUGCUGUUCAUGAUUACACCAGGACCCAAGCUGUACUCUAGGGCAAGAAGAAUAUACAGCCAUAAAGGAUGCAGAGAUCAAAGAUCUGAAAUUUGUGGUUCUAAUUAAAAAAAAAAAAAAAAAGCCAAAAAUCUAAGAGGGAACUCGGUUGGGGAGGAAAGAUUACCAAGGAAGAGUUUUCUGAACUGCCCUGUCCCCAUCCCCUAAAGCUGUAACCUGUGUCUGGAAAGAGAUAAGAGAGGUUCAGGAAAGGAGAGAGUAAGAUGUGAUUGUGUGGCCAUACUGGGCCACAUCUAGGAAGGAAGGAGAACAGACCCUCAUCCCAGAGAGUUUGGGGAUCUGGGCCCGAUGGAAGCACUGCUCUCGUUUCUCUCUGGAGCUCUGGGGAGCGGCAGGCUGCGGAUGAGGGCUGCCACACAGUGGCCUGGGGAAAACAGAGUGGAAAGGGCUGGAUGGUGUAUGACAAGAGGAGAAGCCCCAACAAGAGGCCCAAGUCUCCAGCAGAAUCAGAGAAGCAAAGGAGGACAACCAGAGUGUCCCAAGUAGCAUGCUGGACAGUACUGAGAGCAAGGCAAGAAACACGUGCAAAGAGCACAGUGAGAUAGAGCCAAAUCUUCCAAGGGGUCCUGAUAAAGGAGACAGCAGUUAGACCAUAUAACUGAAGGCCCCAGGCCCCUGAAGUCACCAGCAUGAAGCAGUGGGGCGGGGGGGAGCAGGAGAUGUGCAGAGAUCACUACCCUCCACCCAGGGCUGCAAUGGCUGCACAGCCUCACCUAUAACACAAAUACCCACCCAGGGAGAAGUGGGACAUGGAGAAAGGAUGGAUGAAUUGAGUUAAGGCUGAAGUUACCAAAAUGAUUCACUUUCCUUGGAAAUGCCCAGAUUAAGAUUUCCACUAUUAGACUGAAUGAAAUCUGGACGAUCCUACCCACUUCAUGAAUAUUCCUGCUGUUAUUUUUGUUGAGAACCAGCCAUUGUUAAGUACUUCACAAACAUUAUCCCUGGAAGUCCUCAUGACAAACCUACAAUCA
ensembl:lncRNA